AAUUGACUUGUGCAUUGUAUUGUAUGAAAAACCAAACCAAGUACUGUUAUUUCAAUAUUAAUGAUACCCAUCAUUUUACCUCUUUUUGCAUAUAGUACUACAGUAUACAAUUACAAGCCAAAUUUGCACAGAAGUUUCCAUUUAUAUAUACCAUGAUUGUUUGUUUGAUAGUUGUAGAUAUCAUGCAUUGUACCACCUUUGCUUUGCUUCCUAGAGCUAUCUCAAGUGGCUGUCUAGAUCCACUAUCGUUUUGUUUAUGCAUAAUCGCAUAAGCAUUUGGCAGUCAUGACACGUGCACUGUGUUUAAGUUAUUA
rnacentral:lncRNA from 1 species